rnacentral:lncRNA from 1 species
ACGGGAUAGCAGAAGCUUUCAUGUCUAUUGGGCAUUUAGAAUUCUUCUAUGAUCAAGCACCAGAAAGCAUGAGAAGCACAGCUACAGCACUAUUUUGGACAGCGAUUUCAGUUGGGAAUUAUGUGAGCACGCUUCUGGUUACCUUAGUGCACAAGUUUAGUGCAGGCCCUGAUGGAUCAAACUGGCUUCCGGAUAACAAUUUGAACAAGGGGAAACUAGAGUAUUUUUAUUGGUUGAUCACAUUGAUGCAAGUCGUUAAUCUCGUUUACUACUUGAUUUGCGCUAAGAUGUAUACUUUUAAGCCCGUUGAGAUCCACAGAAAAGAAGCCAGUGACUCCAUAGAUGAUGGGGUGGUGGAGCUUACAAACAAGGCUUAACCCAAUCUAUUAGUUUUUUCACACAAGAUCAAUGCUUGUAUUCCAAGAUGACAUAGCUUGCGUAGUAGAAUCUGAUACUCUGAAUAAACUUUAUAUAUAAUAUGCGCAAAAUGAUGUAGAAUCAAAAUCAACAGAAAACCUAUGAAAAUCCCAAUCUUCUAAUUAUAUGUUGACGUGCAAUUAUGGGAGCAUUUUUUCGAUUCAUGCAUAAAAGAAAAAAAAAUUUAUCAAUUCACGUGGGAUCCGAAAAUAUUUUUCGAUCCUGUGUGUCAGCGCAGCGUUCAUACUACCGAACACGCUUGUUCGACAUUCAGAAUGUCGAACAAGAGAUAGUUCGACACCAUGGGUGUCAAACUGCCAAGCAGACCAGCUUGUUCGGCACCUUAGGUGCGAACACGCACAAGUAUCAAGGCUUCGUCAUUCAUGCAGAACACUUUUAUUUUUGAUAGUGUUACCUCCAUGGGUUAUCUGAUAGUCUUCAAGUAAUGACCGUAAUAAAAUAAGUAGAAAAUUUAUAAUCGGGGCGGGUGAGGAAGGAGCAAAUAAGUAAGGUAAGGAGGGAGCAAGGAGGUAACAGGAAAGAGGUAGCACAUGGAGGUAACAAGAAAGAGGUAGCACAUGGAGGUAACAAGAAGGAGAUAGCAAAUUUAUAGCCGGGAAUAUGGUGUAGUUCGGUGUAGUUCGGCAGUAAAACUGCCGAACUAGCCAUUUUGGUUGAAUAAAUGUGGAGCCGGGCGAACAUAUGUCUGCAUUGUUGCUCACAUGGGGUGCAGAGACCAUGUCAAUUGGCAUGUCACAUGGGUGUAGAGAUUCUCUGCACCCAUGUCAUAUUGCAGACAUGUUCGGCACUCACUUUGAGUGCCGAACAUGUCCACACUUCCAUACAGGGUGCCGAACACGCCUCAUGAGCCACGGGAGCAGUUUGAAACUGUUUCCGUGGCAAGGGCCAUAGUUGUUCGACACCAUUGGUGUCGAACAACUAUGCCGCUAUGCUAUCGAACUGCCAUUUGUUCGACACUAAUGGUGUCGAACAAAAGUGUUCGGCAGUAUGAUUGCUGAACAUUUAAUUUUGACACACAGGAUUCGAAAAUAUUUUCGAAUUCCACGUGAAUUGAUAAAUUUUUUUUUUUAUGCAUCAAUCGAAAAAAUGCUCCAAUUAUGAUAUUGUAUAUAUGUGGCCCUGGACCAUAAUGAGCCGUUGAGCUAAUUCCAACCCAUAAUUGUCUGAUCAGAAUGUAUUUGCUAUUUACCAAAUGAACCCUCACAGGAGCACGAAAUUAGCAGGAAAAUCUCCAUUAGUUACAUAUGCGCUACAUGAUUUUUCCAGAUUAAUAAUAGAUAUUUCCAUUACUAAUCAAUGAAAAAUCCGUUACUAAUCUGUUUAGUAACGGAUUUAUAUCUGUUAUUAUGAACCUCGUUGCAAAUGCAAUAGUAACCGAUUAGUAAUCCGUUACUAAUUUUGUAAUGAAUUUAUAAUGAAAUUUAAUAACGUAUUCAAAAUCCGUUACUAUUUUAAUAAAAAUUUUAAAAAAUAUAUAAAUAUAUAUAAAUUAAAUCUGGUACUAAAUUUAGUAACGGAUAGAAAUCCGUUACUAAUCCGAUAAAAUAAAAAAUAAAAAAAUAUAUUAAAUUUAUAUUCAUUAUUAAAUUUGUGGUUAAUUUUUAAAAAAUAUUUAAAAAAUUAUAUUAAAUUAUUAAUUUAUUUCAUUAUAUUUUACAUUAAAUAAUAAUUUAAUUAUGGUAAACUCUUAAUUUUUUCAUUGUAUUUUACAUUAAAUAUUAACUUUAAUAUUUUAAAUUUUAUUAAUUUUAUAAGAAAAUUCUUACAAAAUUAUAUAAGAAAAAUCUAAAAAAUGAAAAAGAGUGAGAGAAAGGAAAAAAAUGAGAUAUAAAAGAAAAAAUAAGAAAAAAAAAAGAAAAUAGAAGAAAAUAAUGAUAAAAAUAAAAGAAAAUAAGGAACAAGGGGAAAUUAAAGAAAAUGAGAAAAAAGAAGAAAAAAGAGAAAAAAAGAAAAGAAAAUGAGAGAAAGAUGAAGAAAAAAUGAAGAAAAAUAAAUAGAAAAUGGAGAUAUAGAAAAGAAUGAAAAGGAAAAAGUUAGAGUAUAUAUAUGAGAGAAAAGAAAGUAAAUGAAUGAAUAAUGAAAGAAAAAGGAAGGGAAAAAUGAUAGAAAGUGGAAGAGAAAAUAAAAAAAAAUGGAAGAAAAUGAAAGAAAAAAUAUGAGAGAAAAUAAAGAAAAUGAAACAAAAAUUAAGAGAUAAAAGGAAGAUUAAAAAUGAAAGAAAAUUGAAUAAAAAAUAGAAGAAAAUAAUUGAGAGAAGAAAAUAAGAUAAGGGAAAAUUAAGGAAUGAGGAGAGAAUAAAUAAAAGAAAUGAAAGAAAUGAAGGGAGAUGAGAGAAGAAAAUAAGGUAAGGGGAAAAUGAAGGAAUGAGGAGAGAAGAGGAGAAAGAAAGUGAAUGAAAUGAAGGGAGAUAAAAUGGGUGAGUGUAUAAAUACACGAAUUAGUAACGGAUUUAGUAACGGAUUGAAUCCGUUAUUAAAUUUAAAAAAAAAGCGGGCAAAUUAAAAUAAAAAGGUGAUAUUUUAGUAACAGAUUUUUUAAUCCGUUACUAAUUUUUAGAUUAGUAAUGGAUUCAGUAACAGAUUUUUUCCGUUACUAAAUUAGAAAUAAAAAAGACGGAAUUUUAAAAUAAAAGCGUGUUAUUUUAUUCUCUAAAAUUUAGUAACAGAUUAUAGAAUCUGUUACUAAUUUUCGAAUCAGUAACGGAUUUAAUAACAAAUUAUAUCCGUUAUUAACUUAAAAAUAAAAUAUGAAAUUUUAAAAAAUAAAAAGUCGAUUUUUUGUUAAAAAAAUAGUAAUGAAUUUUAAUUCGUUACUAAAUCCGUUACUAAAAAAAUAAUAGAUUGCAUUCCGUUAUUAAAUUCGUUACUAUUUUAUUCAUUUAAUUUAUUUAUUUAGUAACCGAUUUAGUAACAAAUUAAUCCGUUACUAAUUUUUAGCUAAUUUAGUAACGGAUUUAUAAUAGAUUUCAAAAUCAGUUAUUAAAUUUAUAAAUAAUUUUAUUAAGUAAGAGAUUUAGUACCGGAUUUGUUAAUCCGUUACUAAAUAAUAAAAAUUAGUAACGGAAUAUAAAAUCCGUUACUAAUCCGUUACAAAUUUAUAAUAAGUUUAAAUCUGUUAUUAAUAUCCGUUACUAUUCUGACUAUAUAGUGAUAUACAUAAUUACAGUUAUAUAUUAGUUAAAAAACAAAUUACAUUAGUGAAGUAAUUUCUUUACAAAUUACAUUUCAUGAAAUUUAGUUAUAUAUAUAUAAUUAAACAUUUUUUAAAUGAAUUUUAUAUUUACUUUUUAAAAUAAUUGAAAUAUAUAUGAGAAGGGGAAUAAUAUAAUUUUUUUUAAUUACUCUUAGUUUUUUUAACUAUUAACAAUUGUAUUUAAAUUUUAAAGUGGAGAAUAUUUUUUAUUAUUUUAUUUAUUGUUAAAAAUAAAAAUUUUGGGAUAAGAUUAUUAAAAUAAUAUAUUUAAAUAUUAGAUAAUUAUGAAAAGGAUUAUGUUGCUGGCCAAUAUAAUUCAAGGUUAUUAAAAUGACUAAAUUUUAUUUUUAUAUAGUGAACAGUGAAAUUAUCUAAUAUAUAAAAUUUUAAUUUAAUCUAUUUAAUUUUAAAGAUGAAAGUGUGACAAUUCUAUAAUUUAACUUAAAAAUAAUUAUAAAAAAUUAACCUUGCUUUAUCGCAUUUUUAAAUAAAAUUCUAUACUUUAAUUUAUAACAAAUAGAGCAUUAUAUUUUCACUCGAGAUUUUUUCUUUUAACACUGUUUAAUAUUAAUGGUAAUUUAUAAUUUACUCUCUAAUAUUUAAUUCAUUAAAUUUUGUUUGAUUAAUAAAAUAAUUUUUUAAUUUAAAUUUAUAUUUUUAAUUAAAAUUAAUUUCUAUGUUUUUAUACAAUCAUCUCUAAAUAUUAUAAUUACUAGUAAGUUCUUAUAUUUGUAAAUUAAUCUCUAUAUUUGUUAAAUUUUAAUAUGUUACUUGUGAAAAACAAUAAAAUAAAAAUAAGAUAAAAAAAUAUGAUAUCUCAUUUUUGUGUUAGUUAAUAAAAAAAAUUAUUGAGAAGGAAAAAGUUAGACUAAAAGGAAUUAUUUGAACUUAAAUUUAAAUACAUAUUGUAUCAAGAUUAUUGAUUUAAUUUUUAUUUUAUUAAUUUAAUCUAAGAUAUUAAAUUUAAUAAACCGGUGAAAUUAAUUUUUAAAAAAUUAAGUAUUUAUUUGUAAAUAAUUAUAAUAUUUAGAAUCAAUUUAUAAGAAUAUAGAGAUGAAUUAUCAUUGAAAGGACUAUUUUAUUAUAAAAUAAAAUUUUAUAAUUAAAUUUAUAAAUAUUUGAACUAAAUUAUAUAUUUUAUAAAAAUUUAAAGAUUAAAAUAUAAUUCAUCCUAAACAAAAUUAUUUUUAAAUGCCACAACUAAUGGUUAGAUAGAAAAGUCUUAUUUUACUAACGGAAUACGACUCUCAAAUUAAAUUAUAGGAUUUUACUUAAAAAAAUCACUAAAUGAUAUGAUAAUUUUUUUAUAAUUACUCUUUUAAUAUAAUUAUUUAUUAUUUUAAGAGUUAAUUUAAUUUUGGACAAAAAUUUUAUGAGGAUUAUAACAAUACAUAAAAUUAGGAUAAAUAUUAAAAUUAAUAACUUUGAUAAUAUUCAAUGUUUAAAAUAUUAAUUAUCAAAAUAAAUGAUUUUUCAUAAUUUUGAUCACAAGUUUUUAUAAAAUUAGGAUAAAUAUUAAAAUUAAUUACUUUGAUAAUAUUCAAUGUUUAAAAUAUGAAUUAUCAAAAUAAAUGAUUUUUCAUAAUUUUGAUAUCAAAGUUUUUAUAAGAGGGAACCAUAAGAUACCAAUAUUUCACGUUAAAAUAUUACAAUACUUAUCAUAAUAUUGAAUUAUUAUUUAAUAUUUUUUAAAAAAUAUAGGAUAAUGAAGUAAAUAUAAUAUAAUUCAGCCGAUUUAGAUAAUAUAUUUAAUGGAACAAAAUGUUUAGAAAUUUUAUUUUUAUGGAUCUCAAUCAUAUAAAUAAAUAGAAAGAGAGUUUAAAAGAACCAAGUAUUAAUAAUUAUUUACUUGUUUUGUUGUGGUUUGUUAUUUUAUAGAUCAACAACUUAUUAAGUUUUGUUUUUUCAGUUCAGAACUUGGCUCCCCAGAUACGACCUCGUCUUACCUCCCUGUCUCUUGCAGUCACCUAAACAGGGAGUAUUUAUACCCUGUCCCUGCCCUAGCCCUGCUAUUUUAUUCGAAAAACUUUACCCGAGUUGAGAAUUUUGUCAUCUAUAAGUAUAUUAAAAAAAAUUUUAAUUAGUGGUUGCAUUAAAAAAUUAAUCAAAUAUUUAAAAAUAUAAACAAUUGAAAUGUAUACGUGUUAACUUUGUUUUCGCUUACCAUUACAUGUCAAUCAUGUGGCCUCAUGUGAGAAUAAAAGCUUUAUGAUCACACAGGCCUAUAUAUCACGGUUCCUAGUAGGCCAGUUAAACACCAAGGAAUGAAAAUGGAGAAGAUGGAGGAGAAGGGUUUCCAUGCCAAAAGGCAGAAGGGUGGAAUGGCUACAUUGCCCUUCAUAUUUUGUAAGAUCUUGUGGUUCUUGAAGAAUAACAAAGUUCUUGCUUUGGUUUUGUAUAAGGAUGCAUGUGAUACGUACUGAUGCAUAUUUUUGCUUUGGCUUUUGUUUUUUUUGUUAGCAAGCGAUGCCUGUGAGAGGCUGGCUAUAGUGGGUUUUAAUACCAAUAUGAUUAGCUACUUAACUGGCCAGCUUCAUAUGCCAUUAACUAAAGCAGCAAAAACCGUCACCAACUAUGGAGGCACUGCAACCUUGACACCUCUGCUCGGUGCCUUCUUUGCUGAUGCUUAUGCCGGCCGGUUCUGGACUAUAACAGUUGCUUCCAUAAUAUACCAAAUAGUAAACACCUUUCUCUAUAUCUCUCUCUGCCAAGAAUAUUAUAUCAAAGAGCAUUAAGAAGUUUCCCUUGCGAUUAUUUAAGAUGUCAAUUGUGAACUAUUGACAAUUUCAAUCGCAAAUUAUCUCAAGUUUUGAGUACUUUAUUUUGUGUGUGUGUAUAUAUCAGGGCAUGACAAGCUUAACACUAUCAGCCGCACUUCCAAACCUAAGGCCACCUCAGUGCAAAGAAGAUGAAGUUUGCCAAGAAGCAGACACAGGACAACUAGCAAUCCUAUAUGCAUCUCUCCUUCUGAUGGCUUUAGGGUCCGGGGGAAUUCGACCCUGCGUGGUUGCAUUCGGGGCCGAGCAGUUUGAUGAAACGGAUCCUAAGCAAUCAACAAAGACAUGGAGAUACUUCAAUUGGUACUAUUUCGUGAUGGGGGUGUCUAAUCUGUUGGCUGUGACAGUGCUUGUGUAUGUACAGGACAAUGUUGGAUGGGGUUUGGGCCUUGGAAUCCCAGCCAUUGUUAUGUUUCUAUCAAUUAUUGCAUUUAUAAUUGGAUACCCACUUUACCGGCACUUGGAUCCAGCUGGGAGUCCAUUUACCCGCUUGGUACAAGUGUCAGUGGCUGCAUUUAGGAAGAGGAAGUUGUCCAUGGUUUCGGAUCCUAAAUUACUGUACCAGAACGAAGAACUGGAUGCUCCCAUUUCCAUUGGUGGAAGGCUUCUUCACAGUAAACACAUGAAGUAAAUUACAACUCUCUCUCUCUCUGUACAUAAAGCUGUGUUUUUUUUCAUUGUUUGCAUGUGCAUAGAGAAGAUAGAGCUCGUCAUAACACAGCUUGCUAGUGCAGUAAUGCUAUCCUCUAGCAUAUACUGAUUACCUUCGGUGAGAAUUCAUCAACAUAACAAGCAACUUUGUAUAAACAUGUCAACUUUGGUGGUUAACUUUUUUUUCACUUAUCCUUCGUUUAUUUAGGAGGGGAUUUUAUAUUUUUCAUCUGUAAUUUGUGUAUUAUUAUUAAUUACAUUUAAAACGUUUAUUAGAUAGUUAAUUAAUUAAAAAGUCAAAAAAAUAAAGAUAAGUUUAUAUUUAAAAAAUAGAUCAUAUAUAAAUCUCUUUUUUCAAAUUCAAUUAAAUAUAAUGGUAUAGUAUGUAAUUAUUUGAAAGAAUAUAUAAUUAAAGCACAUGACACUGAGUUUAGUUUUGCUAAUAUGUUUAUAAUAAAAUGCAGGUUCCUUGACAAGGCCGCCAUUGUGACGGAAGAAGACAACCUUAAAGCAAGCGAAACACCCAAUUUAUGGAGACUAAACACAGUACACAGAGUAGAAGAACUGAAAUCUAUAAUCAGAAUGGGACCUAUAUGGGCAACAGGAAUUCUCCUAAUCACAGCUUAUGCCCAGCAAAACACAUUUUCCCUCCAACAAGCCAAGUCCAUGGACAGGCAUCUCUCAAAAUCCUUUCAAAUCCCUGCUGCUUCCAUGUCUGUCUUCACCAUGAUCUCCAUGCUCACCACCGUAGCCAUAUAUGAUCGAUUCUUAAUUCCUUUUGUACGUAGAUUCACGGGGCUCGAACGCGGCAUGAACUUUUUGCAAAGAAUGGGAAUUGGUUUUGUCAUAUCCAUAUUAGCCACUCUAGUUGCAGGCUUCGUGGAAAUCAAGCGAAAACAUGCAGCUAUUGCUAACGGGCUACUAAAUUCUCAUCAUACUAUUCCCAUCUCAGUGUUCUGGCUCGUGCCACAAUAUUCUCUUCAUGGGAUAGCAGAAGCUUUCGUGUCUAUUGGGCAUUUAGAAUUCUUCUAUGAUCAAGCACCAGAAAGUAUGAGAAGCACAGGUAUCGCGCUAUUUUGGACAGCAACUUCAGUUGGGAAUUAUGCGAGCACACUUCUGGUCACCUUAGUGCACAAGUUCAGUGCAGGCCCUGAUGGAUCAAACUGGCUUCCGGAUAAUAAUUUGAACAAG